CCUGUUUUAACAGAGGCUCAAGAAUUCCAUUCCUUAACUCAGGUAAAUGCUGCUGGAUUAAAAAAUAAACAUUAUUGACCUGGAAACAAGCUAAAAACAUAGUGCAACAUUGUCCACUAUGCCAGGUGCUACAGCUGCCUACUCAAGAACCUGGAGUUAAUCCUUGGGGACUUAAACCAAAUGCUCUUUGGCAAAUGGAUGUGACUCAUGUCCCAUCAUUCCGAAAACUUUCUCUUGUGCAUGUUACUGUUGAUACUUUUUCUCCGUUUAUCUGGGCUACAUGCCAAACUGGAGAAAGUACAGCUCAUGUAAAAUGACGUUUAUUAUCUUGUUUUGCAGUCAUGAGUGUGCCACAGAAAAUGAAAACAGACAAUGGACAAGGACAUUGCAGUAAAACUUUUGAAAGUUUUGUUCAGCGAUGGAAAAUCGUACACACUACAGGAACACCCUAUAACUGCCAAGGUCAGGCCAUAGUAGAAAGGGCUAUUCGGACUCUUAAGACACAAUUAGAAAAACAAAAGGAAGGGGGAAGUAGUAAGGAGUAUACCACACUCCAUAGGCAGCUACAAUUAGCCCUUUUGACUCUAAAUUUUUUGAACAUUUCCAGAGAUCAGGUCUCCACAACAGCUGAACAACACUUUUCUGGACAGAAAGUUAAUUUACAUGAAGGAAAAACGAUCUAGUGGAAGGAUAUCAGAACUAAAACUUGGGAAUUAGGAUAAAUUAUCACCUGGGGGAGGGGUUUUACUUGUGUUUCACCAGGACACAAUCAAACACCCACUUAGAUACCCAAGAGACAUUUGAAAUUCAACAGUGAACGCUACACUGACCGGACAGAAGAAAGGGAAGAAUCGAAAGAGGAGGAAGACUGGUCCCUCCGACCUGUCCUUUCCGGAGCUGAGAAGGAUGGCCAAGCUGAGUGUCUCAGAGAAACAACAGAAGAUGGAGAAGACUGGCCAGGCUACACCACCGACAUGAGGACAGAUAAAGAAGCUGACUCAAAUGGCAGAGGACAGCCUAAAGGAGAAACAACUGGCAAUUACCCCGGGUAAUAUGAUCUUGGCUGCUUUAAUGGUAAUUACCGUGGCGAUGCGGAAAGCGGCUCCUGAAGGAAAAUCAAAACCACGAGCAAGUUAUGAUUGCGAUGGCUAUUUUAAAUUUUUAAAAAGUGGGGGAAAUGCGGGUCAAAACAGGGACUUGGAUGUGGGCCAAGGCGGUCGAGGGCCGGCCUACAGUGUGCCUGUUUAAGGAUUAACAAUAUAUGCUUUAGAAUAGUGCUUUAUUAAUAUAGUCAUGAACCAUAAGACUAGCUUGUGCUUAGUCCAACAAUGUAAGAAUCAGGCGGUGAGCUUGCUUGACUGACCACAGAGUGGAACAACCAACCGCGGGAAGUGUGUGGAGCCUCUAAGCGAGAAAGCUUGCUUAUUGCUCAGCCUCCCGCUUGAGUCCCUGAACAAAGGUCUCGUGGGAAGGGAAGCGACCCCGGAUCCGUUCCCCAGAAGGGAACUGCAGGAGGCUGCUUGUAAAAGAGGAGAAGUCCUCAGCGGUAGAGAUAAGGAGGAAGUCUUCUAUAUCUCCCGCUCCUUCCCAGAGGCAGAGAGCUCUGCUGCUCUGCUGCUCUGCUGAUGGUGCUUGGGAGUGGACCGCCCCUUUGAUGCACAGGCCUGUGUCUGACGGGCUGUCUGCUUUCACGUCCUGUUCUGUUCUGUUAACCACUUAGUUGGACUCUGAUGAUUAUCUGUAAGUUAAACAUAGAGUAUUAGCUUACAUAGUGGAAUAGUAAAUAAUAUUAACUUGCUGAUGACGCACGCUACGCCCUCUGCCACCUCUCCCCAUGGUCACCUUAUGAUCAGCCCACCAUCUGCCCACCCUCAGCCUAUAGGAUCAAAGGAAUUGUACUCAAUAAAUAUCAGUGGAAUCCAGAGCUCAGGGCCUUCGCAGUUUCCGGGUUGCGAUGGACCCCUAGACCCACUUUUGUUAACUCU